UGUGGUCUCUGUGUACGCUGGCUGCCGGCGCCCUAGUGUACUGGCUGCAGGUUGCCUCCUGUGCAGGCUGGUUGAUAGGGGCUGGCUGCGGUGUCUCUUGUGAACUGCCUGUGAAUGUUUGCUAUCUUCCUGUCUGCUUCUUUGUUUCUGUUGUCACACGGGUUGGUUUUGCCCUGGCAUACUGGCUGCGGUGUCUCUGUAUAUGCUGGUUGCCAGGGGCAACGUCCUGCACUGCGGCCUGUGUGGUUCUGUUCUCCUGCUCUGAUGGGGUUAACUUCCCCUGAUCUGUGCCUGGGUGCGGCUUCUCCGGUGCCUCGUUAAUCAGCUAUGUCUACCUGUGAGCUGUGGGGCUUGAGGUCUGGCGAAAAUCUCGCUCGGGACGCGAUGACAUGCACAGGAUUUCGGCCGAGAUCUUCAAUCAAGAUGACGGUGCCCGGCCCAUAGCGAGCAAGUGGAUCAGAGAAACCUGGACAAUGUCCCCUAGAACCAUUAGCAAAGUGUCCUCCUAACAUUUCUCCUCCUGAGUGCAAAUCGGACGAUGUCUGUCCUGAAAAAGAAAAGUGCUGCAGUGAUCAGUGCACCAUAAAAUGCAGGGAUCCCAUCGAGUAGAAGCCCGGAACAUGCCCACCACCACCACGCCGGACCGAUUGCCCAUCCGAUCUGCCACCUGGAAUAUGUAAAGUGGACAGUGAUUGUCCAGGAAAACAGAAAUGCUGCUUCAUAAAUUGUAGCUUAUGGUGAAUCAAUGUGUAAUAAGUGAUGUGAGGCGGCCGGAUGCAUCUCCGUCCCUCACAGCGGAGGACACAUCGCCGAUCAGCCUCAGUAAUUCUCUCUUCUCGCGGCUUUUCCUUCUCUAGUUGCAGAUAACCCUGGGAGGUGACAGCGGUGAAGACACUCAGGGCCGGAUCCGCUGCCCCAGGUGCCCAGUCUGAAUACACCCCCAUUAUAGCCAGAUUUCUCCUCCUUCUCAGCGAUCAUAGUGACAUUUAUCAAUGUAAUAAAGCAGAAGAUGAAAAA